rnacentral:rRNA from 1 species
AAAUGAAUUGACGGGGACCCGCACAAGCGGUGGAGCAUGUGGUUUAAUUCGAAGCAACGCGAAGAACCUUACCAAAACUUGACAUCCCGGUGCCCGCUUCUUAAUCGAAGCUUUCUAAGUUUACUUAGACACCGGUGACAGGUGGUGCAUGGUUGUCGUCAGCUCGUGUCGUGAGAUGUUGGGUUAAGUCCCGUAACGAGCGCAACCCUUAUCUUUAGUAGCCAGCAUUUCGGAUGGGAACUCUAGAGAGACUGCCAGGGAUAACCUGGAGGAAGGUGGGGAUGACGUCAAAUCAUCAUGCCCCUUAUGUUUUGGGCUACACACGUGCUACAAUGGCUGCUACAAAGGGAAGCAAAUGGGCGACCAUAAGCCAACCUCAAAAAAGCAGUCCCAGUUCGGAUUGUAGUCUGCAACUCGACUACAUGAAGUUGGAAUCGCUAGUAAUCGCGAAUCAGCAUGUCGCGGUGAAUACGUUCCCGGGUCUUGUACACACCGCCCGU